rnacentral:rRNA from 1 species
UGGGGAAUAUUGGACAAUGGGCGGAAGCCUGAUCCAGCAACGCCGCGUGAGGGAUGACGGCCUUCGGGUUGUAAACCUCUUUCAGUACCGACGAAGCGAAAGUGACGGUAGGUACAGAAGAAGGACCGGCCAACUACGUGCCAGCAGCCGCGGUAAUACGUAGGGUCCGAGCGUUGUCCGGAAUUAUUGGGCGUAAAGGGCUCGUAGGCGGUUUGUCGCGUCGGGAGUGAAAACAGCGGGCUUAACUCGUUGCUUGCUUUCGAUACGGGCAGACUAGAGGUAUGCAGGGGAGAAUGGAAUUCCUGGUGUAGCGGUGAAAUGCGCAGAUAUCAGGAGGAACACCGGUGGCGAAGGCGGUUCUCUGGGCAUUACCUGACGCUGAGGAGCGAAAGUGUGGGGAGCGAACAGGAUUAGAUACCCUGGUAGUCCACACCGUAAAACGUUGGGCGCUAGGUGUGGGGUCCUUUCCACGGAUUCCGUGCCGUAGCUAACGCAUUAAGCGCCCCGCCUGGGGNGUACGGCCGCAAGGCUAAAACUUAAAUGAAUUGAC